UUCCCUCAAAGCAAUAAAAGACGCUGGCCAUUAGAUCCGCUGCCCUCCUCCUCCUCCAGAAUCACCACCUCCAGAGCCACCGUAGCCAUUUUAUCCACCGCCGCUUAAGUCACCGUAUUCUCCGGCGCCACUGGAGCCAUCGUAUUCAGCACGGCCACCAAAACCACCGUAUCCACCACCGCUAUCCGGACCUCCAAAUCCACCUCCGCUACGAAUCAACACCGCUACUAUGUACACCAAUUGGAGCUCGGCUAUUUGUGGUUGCUCUAAUUCCGCAGCUUGACAUAUGUAGUAAUCGUUUUCCCUAGUUGGUUGAUUUUCUUUCUCAGAGGUUUUGCACUUCUUAUCUUGCGGAGGACGUUGAUUAAGUGAAAAUUGAUAUCUGCAAGACCUCGACUCUAAUUUCUGAGAUUGACCGAGUAUUAAUUUCAUAAACUGGUAUCUGCAGUCCGACAGAUGCUAAUUUGGUGGCAACAUGUGGUGGAGACGAAGGAGAAUUUAUAUGGAAGAUUGGUUAAGGUGAUUCUAGUUUAAAGUUAUUAGAAGAUCACAGAGAUUUUGUUUAGUUUGGCUUUUAGUCCUGAUGGUCAGUUGCCUUCUCCUGAAAGCAUUGAUGGGCAUAUGAGAGUGGGACACAACUUCAGGUAGUCUGAAGGGCAAACUUGAAGGUCCUAAAAGGGAAAUUCAAGUGAAACAUUUUCUUAUGCCUAAGAAAUUCAUCUUUGCAUGACAAUUCGAGAUCCAGGGGUCUGGUAACAUCAAGAAGACAUGGUGUUGGCUAGUGCAGAGUAUCCUAUUGUUUUGAUAUGGAAUGAUGGUAUCCGAGAGGACACGAGGCAAUGGUUUCUGAGAGGAUAUAGAUAUGUACUCUAUGAUGUUUAGAGAUUUGAUAUGUGGAAGAUUAUUGAAAUGAGAACAAGAUUAGCUUUUACCUUCUAAAAAAAAGAAGAUUAGCUUUUGGAAUCAAGUGGAGUAAUUUUUUUCAUGUUAUGUUGUUGACAUUAAGAUUAUGAAUGAAUAGUUAUUUGUUUUUGUUUA